rnacentral:rRNA from 1 species
AGUGAACGCUGGCGGUAGGCCUAACACAUGCAAGUCGAACGGCAGCACAGUAAGAGCUUGCUCUUACGGGUGGCGAGUGGCGGACGGGUGAGGAAUACAUCGGAAUCUACUUUUUCGUGGGGGAUAACGUAGGGAAACUUACGCUAAUACCGCAUCCGACCUACGGGUGAAAGCAGGGGAUCUUCGGACCUUGCGCGAUUGAAUGAGCCGAUGUCGGAUUAGCUAGUUGGUGGGGUAAAGGCCCACCAAGGCGACGAUCCGUAGCUGGUCUGAGAGGAUGAUCAGCCACACUGGAACUGAGACACGGUCCAGACUCCUACGGGAGGCAGCAGUGGGGAAUAUUGGACAAUGGGCGCAAGCCUGAUCCAGCCAUACCGCGUGGGUGAAGAAGGCCUUCGGGUUGUAAAGCCCUUUUGUUGGGAAAGAAAAGCAGCAGGUUAAUACCCCGCUGUUCUGACGGUACCCAAAGAAUAAGCACCGGCUAACUUCGUG